ensembl:lncRNA
GGCCCAGGCAUGGAUCAAAGCUGGUGAAACGUCUUGACGUCAACUUCACAGACUAAUCAACCGUGGCCCCUGAGCAAUUUGCUCAAAAUUGCUUCAGAAAAAAAGGUUCAAGCAAGUUGAGUCUCAAGCAUCUGCUCAAACUCCAUGUAUGGGGGGCUAUUUCUCGCCAGGGACCAGGCCGAAGUUUAAUUGUUCACAGGAUCAUGGCUCGAGAUUUCUUUGAGGAAGAAAUCAUCAUCUUUACUGAAGACUCAUCUCUUCAGAGGGGUGCGUCACUUGAGUGGGUUGAGUCACUGACGUGAUCUUCCUGUCCGGGUUGGCACUGUGGCGGAGAUCUUUGUGGGCUAUACUCGACCUUGUCUCAGGAUGGACCUGAGCCCUAGGACCAUGCCUCAGGACUACCUGGCAUGAGGACUCCUUGCUGUCCCCAUUCCACCUGGCCGUGUUGCUUCUCCAGUUUCAACUGUUCUGCCUGCGGCUAUGGAACCCUGACCUGUUCACCGGAAGUGCUACCUGUCCCAGACCUGUUUUCAACUCUCUAGAGACAGCAG